rnacentral:rRNA from 1 species
UUCCGGUUGAUCCUGCCGGACCUGAUUGCUAUCGGAUUGGUACUAAGCCAUGCGAGUAAGUGUAGCAAUACACUGCAGACGGCUCAGUAACACGUGGUCAAGCUAACCUAUGGACGUGGAUAACCUCGGGAAACUGAGAAUAAACCGCGAUAGAUCAUGAUGCCUGGAAUGGCUCAUGGUCGAAAUAGUUUACUGCCGUAGGAUGGGACUGCGGCCUAUCAGUUUGUUGGUGAGGUAAUGGCCCACCAAGACUAUUACAGGUACGGGCUCUGAGAGGAGAAGCCCGGAGAUGGGUACUGAGACACGGACCCAGGCCCUAUGGGGCGCAGCAGGCGAGAAACCUUAGCAAUGUGCGAAAGCACGACUGGGUUAGUCCGAGUGAUUCCUGCUAAAGGAAUCUUUUGCCGGUCCUAAAAGCACCGGUGAAUAAGGGGUGGGCAAGUCUGGUGUCAGCCGCCGCGGUAAUACCAGCACCUCGAGUGAUCAGGACGUUUAUUGGGCCUAAAGCAUCCGUAGCUGGCUUUGCAAGUCUCCGGUUAAAUCAACCUGCUCAACAGAUUGGCCGCUGGAGAUACUACAAGGCUAGGGAGUGGGAGAGGCAGACGGUAUUCGGGGGGUAGGGGUAAAAUCCUCUGAUCCUCUGAGGACCACCAGUGGCGAAGGCGGUCUGCCAGAACACGUUCGACAGUGAGGGAUGAAAGCUGGGGGAGCAAACCGGAUUAGAUACCCGGGUAGUCCCAGCUGUAAACGAUGCAAACUCGGUGAGCAUUGGCUUAAUGCUAAUGCUGUGCCGCAGGGAAGCCGUUAAGUUUGCCGCCUGGGAAGUACGGUCGCAAGAUUGAAACUUAAAGGAAUUGGCGGGGGAGCACCACAAGGGGUGAAGCCUGCGGUUCAAUUGGAGUCAACGCCGGGAAGGGCGAUCCCAAU